UAUAAUACAAUAACAAAUUGUUAAUAAAGAGUUAUUAAAAAAUCAAUCUCCAUCCAAAUCUAAUUUAAUCAUAUAUAUAUAUAUAUAUAUUAUGAUCAUAAUAAAUAUUAUGAUCAUAACUUCGUGAUCAAUGGUUAUUCCUUUGUACUACUUCGAAAUACUAUCCGAAAUUGAUCUCGACGUUCAAACGUAUCGAUGGUAAUCGAUUCUUUGGACCUAACUUCGUUCCAGCUGAUAGCCACCAUCUGCUACGAUCUUAUUGGACAGUCAGCCAGCCAGCACCGUUUAUUCUUCGAGAACACAUUUGUUCCAGUGUACUUUGUCGGCUAACGCUAGGCGUCGAACAUAUCGAACUCGAUCGGACAGAUCUUUUGUUCGUUGGCACACGGUGGGUGCAAUCACGCGGAAGACACUACUCGCUUACCGGACUUCUCUUGUGACAGAGGAUUUCGAAACGUUCCUUUAGAAAAAAAAAAAAGAAAGAAAAAAAAAUAAUAGGAUAAGGAGCAUGGAACGAACGAAUGGAAAAUUAAAUUAAUAAUAAAGAAAAAAAAAAAAAAAAAAAGAAAAGAUAAUAUCGAAAUUUUAUAAAUACUCGAUCGAAUCAAAGGAUCUUCGAAUUUGGCAUUGGAAAUUCCUUAAAUCAGACAUUUCAAAAAUUUAUCGAAUUAUCUCUCCGAUACGUUCUAAUCGUAAUAACAUCUGAAAAUUAUUUCACUGUGCAAAGCUUAGGCGCGUCUAUUCGAAACUUUUUAUUUAAAAAGAGGGAGAGAAAUAAAAAUUGGAUCUUCCUUUUUCUCGUUCCUCCCCUCGCCCAAGAAAAAAAAAAAAAGAAAAAAAAAAAGAAAACAAAAAAAAAAAAGAAAGAAGAAAAAAAAAAAAGAAUAAAAAAGGAAGCAAACGAAACAUCUCGAGAAAAUGAUUAAUUGACGUAGGAAUAAAUAUUAUACGGGUACUUUUGACCCGAGGAUCAAUCAUAUUCAAUAAUUUUGACGAUUAAUCGCCGAUCGAUCAUAUUUAAUUUAACAUUUCAACUAUUGCUAUUGAUAUAAAUCGUAAUGUAACGUGCAAAGAUGAAUGUAAACAGUGGCUAGUAGUAGGAAAUCGAGACGUCAGGAAGACUACGCUCCUGGUCAACGUACCAUUCAUGAGGAAUUUACGUUCAUCCUUCUCUUCUACUUCCCUCCCCUCCCCCACACAUACCCCCCUUUAGAUGCAUGCAAUUCCUUUCUCUUUCCUUUUCUCUCUCUCUCUCUCUCUCUCUCUCUCUCUCACACAUACCCAUACACACACAUACACUCACACAUGUAAACGUAUAUAUAUAUAUAUAUAUGUAUACAUAGUACCUACAUAGAAAUGUGUACACAUCGCAUAGAUCCCGUAUCGUUGAAGGGAGAGAAGAUAGACCCUCUCAUUGUGCGCACGGAUAUCCGCGUCACCCAGCCGCAGAAGACUGUUCACGUUCGUGUUUGAAAACCACUCCAUUUCUCUCGGAAGAAAAGAAAAUCUCUCUCUCUCUCUCUCUCUCUCUCUCUUUCUCUCUUUCUCUCUUUCUUUUUUUUUUCUUUCUCUCUUUAUCUUUCUAAACCGCACGCGCGCGAGCAGCCGGCCACGAACAAUUAGAGCCCUUUCAGGAAUUCCAGACGACUCCAACUGUCGCGAAUUUCUCAAUUCAACGAAUGCAUAGGACAAAAGAUAUUCUUCUUUGAUGUUGCAAUUAGAAUUUUUAUAAAAGCGAAAUGAUAAUGAAGACUUCGAAAACUAUCUCUCCCUCUGUGUAUAUCUUUCUCUUUCUCUCUCUCUCCCUCUCUCUCUCUCUCUCUCUUUUUCUCUCUCUUUGUCAUAGAUCAUUAGAAUUUGUCAUUUAGAGAGUGUUAGUUUUUUUCCUUCGAAAAUUUGAGAGAGAGAGAGAGAGAGAGAGAGUGGGAGGGAGGGAGGGAGAGGGAGGGGCAUAAAAAAAGGACAAAAAGUUUUAAUCAUUUUAAUGAUAGAAACUAAAAAGGGGUUCCGCUAAAACGGAAUUAUACCGGAUAUUAUUGGACGACGUUCUCACACUGCUCCCUUUUUUUUUAAGGGUCGUCAUAGUCAUUGUCAUUUUCAUUUUUACGAGUUGGGUGUUCCUCACUUAGUUAACAAUUCUUCGUACUUUCAUAAAAAUCGACUAAUCGUCAUACAUAUUUACAUACGCAUAUACAUAAAAGUUUAUUCAACGAGCACUCGUUAAACAAUUAUCGUUGCAAUGGUUAAAGAGUUAAAGUGAUUAUCUUGAAAAUUGGACUCGUAAAAGAAAGGGAACGGACUUAAAAUAUAAUUAGAAGGAGCUUUAAUAAUCUGUAAGUACUAGAUUUACUUUUAACACACUUGACUUCUUGGCUUCGUGUUUGCACUUUAAUGAGGAACGAUUGGCGGAAAAGGAUAUGCGUCGACGUAAUCAUGUAAAACGGAGAACGACCGGCCGACCUACCAAACGACCUACCAAACGACCGAGUCGACCAGGCGACAAAUUAACCUGAUUUCAUUGUUCCGAACGUAACUCAACGUUCGAAACUAUCCAACCGAGAGAUUUUCAACGUAGACUCUCGUACUUGACGGUCAAAAGACGUUGGACCUGGACCUGACCAACGCCGAAAAGUGCAAGAAACAUGCAAAUUCCGCCAAAUAAUAGACUCCACCAUGUAUGACGUAUAGUCAAAUCCAAACUGAACCUGUUCAAUGAACGAUCAUUUUUGUUUGUUUGUUUUUAAUUAAUUAAAAUCGAUAAGAUCAACGAGGAUCAAUAAAUUAACAAGUAAAUAAAUAAUUAUAAAUCAAAAUCAAUGUAACUUACACGUUCAAAUUUAUACGAUCACCUCUCAUAGCUCUAUCCCAUACAUCAUAAAUUCCAUUUGGUAGGAUAUUGCAACCGAUCCCAAUAAUGCACAAUGUCGAUAGGAGCAUAAGUAGGCCUUGGAAAACGUCACUUAUUAAGACAGCCUUGAUCCCACCGAUCGUUGAAUAGAACGUACAGAUUAUGCCGAUUAAGAUGAUACUUAAGGUACUGGACAAGCCGGUGGUUGCCUCCAGGGCUAUUGAGGGAGCGUAAAGAACGAUUCCCGUGUGUAAAGUCAUAUGGCAGAAGUUUGCGAUGCUGGCCAAUAAACGAACCUUUAUUCCAAAUCUUUUCUCUAUAUACUGGUAGAUUGCAAAAGAGAAAAGAAAAAAAAAAGAAAAAAGAAGGAGAAAAAGUAAAGAAAUAUUUAAUUUUUAUCUUCGUCAAGAAUAAAAGAGAAUAUAAUCUAAUUUUUAAAUGACUUUAAGGAAUGAAAGAAAUUUUAACAUACUGAUGAGUUAUCUUAAAUGAGGAUCAAAAAAACUUUAGUCUUUUAGGACGCUCAUGUAACAAGAACUACCGUAUAGGUUCGACGAAAUGACGAUCCUAAGGAACGAACGAUCGAACGAUCGGUCGUACGAUCGAUCGAUCGAUCGAUCGAAUGAUCGUUCAAUGCCGUCGUCAAUUACCUCGAAGACGCUCAUGACUUUCAACUCGAAGAAGACUGGUAGGUAGCAGUACAUAGCGAUAGGCGCUCCAACAAGGAAGCCAAUGGUAAACACGGUGAACAUCGUGCCAUGGACGUAGAUUUCCGCGCUGAUUCCAAGGAUCGUAAUCGCGGAUAUGAAGGAAACUGUCAUGGCUAUCCCCAAUGGCAAAAUCUUCAUGGAUCGAUCGGCUGAGAAGUAUUCCUAUCCGUUGAUAAAUUAUUUAGCAUAGUAUAUAUAUAAAAUGAACUAUUGCUUUAUCGAUUUGAUGAUAUAUAUAUAUAUAUAUAUAUGAUUAAGAACUUAAUUAAUAAGAUAUUUAUACAUUAAUUUUGUAAACGCUCCCCUUACCCUGAUUGAUUUGUUAUCAUCCUGACGAGUUAUUUUCAUUUUUUUCUUUUUUUUUUUUCUCUUUUUUUUUUUUUGAUAAUAAAAAUAAUCAACGAUGAGGAUCUAUAGUACGACGUUAUUGAUACGAUCGAUCACAGGUUUUUCCUUAUUUUUUUCUUUCUUUUUCUUUUUUUCUUUCUUUUUUUAAGUAAAUUAACUCGCAAUUAUGUGAAAGUAUUUACGUUUAAAAUUGUACGUUUAAAAGUAUAAGAAAAUAACGAUGAUAUCUAUCUCAAUGGGGGCUCUCUUACAAGACAAGAUUUAUCGUAUCGUAAUCAGAUCGUAAUGAUAGUAUGAGCGUUAAUUAGCGUCCACGAGUAUUUCGGAAAUAGCUUACACUACGGUAAGCGAUAAUUUACUAGCGAUCUAUAGUCGCUAAUUUAUAUACUUGCUAAUAUUUAUACUUUCGAGAGUAAGAUCGUUAUGGAUAAGAAACGCGGAACAUAGACGAUCUCUCUUAAGUAUCGCGAUCUAGGUGUGUGGUUCAACAUGAAUUAUCAGUUAUAUCUGAUAGCAAUCUGAAAAAGCAAGAAAGAAAAAGAGAGAGAGAAAGAGAGAGAGAGAGAGAGAGAGAGAGAAAGAGAAAGAGAAAGCUAUUGAUUUUUGAACGUUUCAACAUUGAAAUUAAUUUUCUAGUCUGGUAACCACCUCGAUAGUUUGUUGUCGACCGCCUGUGAAUCGAUAAUAGAUCCCAAUGCUGGCAGAGAUUAGCAGGACUAUACCAAUGAUUAUAUAGUCAUGCCAUUGUAACUUCGAAUUCUCAUUCUGGAUAGUCUGUUUCUGUAAAAAGAAUCGUUUCAUCUAAUAUUUAUCUUACGUUACUUCAAGAUCUAUAACUUAUAAGCGUACUUAUUACAAAAUUUUCAUGUAUAACUUUGACAUGAAUUUAAACCAACACUAGUAACCAUCGAUAUAUAUAUAUAUAUAUAUAUAUAUAUAUAUAUAUAUAUAUACAUAUAAA